GAUGAAGAACGUAGCGAAAUGCGAUAAGUAGUGUGAAUUGCAGAAUUCAGUGAAUCAUCGAAUCUUUGAACGCACAUUGCGCCCUUUGGUAUUCCUUAGGGCAUGCCUGUUCGAGCGUCAUUUGAAACCUCAAGCUCAGCUUGGUGUUGGGUGUCUGUCCCCGCCUCCGCGGGGACUCGCCUCAAAAUCAUUGGCGGCCGGUACGUUGGCUUCGAGCGCAGCAGAAACGCGAACUCGAGGCCCGGCGGAUCGGCGACCAGAAGUCUCUUCUUCACAGUUUGACCUCGGAUCAGGUAGGGAUACCCGCUGAACUUAAGCAUAUCAUAAGCGGAGGA
rnacentral:misc_RNA from 1 species